rnacentral:rRNA from 1 species
ACGGGGCCCGCACAAGCAGCGGAGCGUGUUGGUUUAAUUCGAUGCAACGCGAAGAACCUUACCAGGGUUUGACAUGCUUAAAGUAGGAACUCGAAAGAGGGACGACCUGUAUCCAGUCAGGAGUUUGCACAGGUGCUGCAUGGCUGUCGUCAGCUCGUGCCGUGAGGUGUUAGGUUAAGUCCUGCAACGAGCGCAACCCUCGUCGCUAGUUGUUUUCUCUAGCGAUACUGCCCGUAUAACGUGGAGGAAGGUGGGGAUGACGUCAAGUCAGCAUGGCCCUUACAUCCUGGGCUACACACACGCUACAAUGGGUGAUACAACAGGUUGCAAUAGAGUAAUCUGGAGCCAAUCCCUAAAAUCAUCCUCAGUACGGAUUGCAGGCUGCAACUGCCUGCAUGAAGUUGGAGUUGCUAGUAAACGCAGGUCAGCACACUGCGUUGAAUACGUUCUCGGGCCUU